rnacentral:sRNA from 1 species
GCCCAGGCACAGUGCUGUGUGCCUGUAGUCCAGCUGCUUGGGAGGCUGAGGUGAGAGGAUUCCUCGAGUCCAGGAGUUUGCUGAUGGGGAGAGGAUUCCUUGAGUCCAGGAGCUCUGGGCUGCAGUGUGCUGUGCACACGGGGUGUGCGCUAAGUACUGUAUCAAUAUGGGUGACCUGGAGCAGGGACCACCAGGUUCUCUAAGGAGGUCGGAAAUGGAGCCAGUCCAAACUCCCAUUCUGAUCAGCAGUGGGACAUGCCUAUAAAUCAACACUGCACUCCAGCCUGGGCACCAUAGCAAGAGCUCAGCUCU